AUUGAACGCUGGCGGCAUGCCUUACACAUGCAAGUCGAACGGCAGCACGGGUGCUUGCCCCUGGUGGCGAGUGGCGAACGGGUGAGUAAUACAUCGGAACAUGUCCUGUAGCGGGGGAUAGCCCGGCGAAAGCCGGAUUAAUACCGCAUACGAUCUACGGAUGAAAGCGGGGGACCUUCGGGCCUCGCGCUAUAGGGUUGGCCGAUGGCUGAUUAGCUAGUUGGUGGGGUAAAGGCCUACCAAGGCGACGAUCAGUAGCUGGUCUGAGAGGAUGACCAGCCACACUGGGACUGAGACACGGCCCAGACUCCUACGGGAGGCAGCAGUGGGGAAUUUUGGACAAUGGGCGAAAGCCUGAUCCAGCAAUGCCGCGUGUGUGAAGAAGGCCUUCGGGUUGUAAAGCACUUUUGUCCGGAAAGAAAUCCUUGGCCCUAAUACGGUCGGGGGAUGACGGUACCGGAAGAAUAAGCACCGGCUAACUACGUG
rnacentral:rRNA from 1 species